rnacentral:lncRNA from 1 species
CGGGCUGGCAGUGAGACUGACUGCGUCGGGGUUGAGACUGGGUGGAUGAGGCUCACCCCGGCGGGGAGAAGGGACGAGGAGGGGCGGACAGCGGAAGGUCCGGGAGUGUCCGCCAUUGCGUAAUUGUGAGUCUGUGAGAGAAGAUGUGAAGUAUGGCCUCGUCCCGGUCAUCUGGGCGUGCGGGUCCCGGGUUUUGAUCGCGCGUUUGUGUAGCUGAGUCAUUGAAAGCAGCCAGAUACAAACAGACACAUUCCAGGCAGUGGAGAAAGAGGAGAAAAAUGCCCCCUAACUUCUCAUCAGAAAAACAAAGGCCUAAUGAAAAUGGAAAAUUGUCUUUAAAGAGCUGAAGGGGGAAAAAAAACCGUCAUGCUAAAUAUGCUUCACAUAUGAGGAUGAAUUCAAGUUUUAACUUCUAGUCAUGGUGAAUGAUCCCAGGAGAGCACAGACUGGACCCUGCUACGAUCUCUCUUGGAGUGGAUCAGACUGAUGAUCACCAACAACCAACUCAUUCCCAGAUAAGGAAGAAGAGAGUGUCACCUACUUCAGUGUGGUUUCAACCCUACUUCUGCAUCUUAAAGACACUGUAUUGUUUCAGCAGUAGUGCCCCUGUUCAUUAGUCCCCCUGAUGUUUUCAUUCCUCAUCUCAUCUUUUUCUUAGCAGCAUUCAAUGAAUCCUUCAUUCUAGAAACACUCUAUAUCUUUGGUUUUCAUGAGACCAUUCUCACCUUGUUUUGUCCUAUGACUUUUUUGAAAAAAACAAAAACAAAAAACCCUUUUUUUCUUUUUAAAUUCUGGUAAAAAACACAGUGAAAAUUUGCUAUCUUAACCAUGUUGAAAUGUGCAGUUAGUAAAGUACAUUCACAUUGUGGUGCAAGCCAUCACUACCAUCCAUCACUAGAACCCUUUUCAUCUUGCAGAUCUGAAACUCUACCCAUUAAACAACUUCCCAUCUUCCCAUCCCCACAGCUCCUAGCAACCAACAUUCUACUUUCUCUAUCAGUUUGACUACUCUAGGUACCUCAUAUGAGUAGAAUCAUACAGCAUUUAUCCUUCUUUGCCUGGCUUAUUUCACUUGUAUAAUGUCCUCAAGGUUCAUCCAUGUUGUAGCAUGCAUCAGAACUUCCUCCCCUUUUAAAGGCUGGAUAAUAUUUCAUGGUAUGUUUAGACCACAUUCUGUUUAUCCAUUCAUCCAUCAGUGAACACUUGUGCUCCUUCCAACUUUGGGCUGUUGGGUGUCCUGC